AAAAAAACAAACUCUGGGUUUUCGUGUCCAACUUUGAUUGUCUGUCUUAUAUAAAAUUUUUUUAUAAUUCAUAUUUUCAUUAUUUUUAGAUGAUAAAACAUAAUUAAUAUUUUAUGCGUGACUUGUCUUUUUAAUUUUUUUCAUAAUUUUUUCAAAUAAGACGGACGAUCGAACGUUGGACACGGGAACCAAUGUUUGUCUUUUUU
rfam:Oryza nivara chromosome 5, whole genome shotgun sequence.